AAGGGACGGGGUCAUGGAGCCUGUGGCUUAAUUUGACUCAACACGGGGAAACUUACCAGGUCCAGACAUAGCAAGGAUUGACAGACUGAGAGCUCUUUCUUGAUUCUAUGGGUGGUGGUGCAUGGCCGUUCUUAGUUGGUGGAGCGAUUUGUCUGGUUAAUUUAAUGAACGAGACCUCAGCCUGCUAACUAGCUAUGUGGAGCCAUCGCUCCGCAGCUAGCUUCUUAGAGGGACUAUCGCCGUUUAGGCGACGGAAGUUUGAGGCAAUAACAGGUCUGUGAUGCCCUUAGAUGUUCUGGGCUGCACGCGCGCUUCACUGAUGUAUUCAACGAGUAUAUAGCCUUGGCCGGCAGGCCCGGGUAAUCUUGGCAAAUUUCAUCGUGAUGGGGAUAGAUCAUUGCAAUUGUUGGUCUUCAACAAGGAAUGCCUAGUAAGUGUGAGUCAUCAGCUCGCGUUGACUAUGUCCCUGCCCUU
rnacentral:ncRNA from 2 species